GAUGAACGCUGGCGGCGUGCUUAACACAUGCAAGUCGAACGAAACACCUUAUUUGAUUUUCUUCGGAACUGAAGAUUUGGUGACUGAGUGGCGGACGGGUGAGUAACGCGUGGGUAACCUGCCCUGUACAGGGGGAUAACAGUCAGAAAUGACUGCUAAUACCGCAUAAGACCACAGCACCGCAUGGUGCAGGGGUAAAAACUCCGGUGGUACAGGAUGGACCCGCGUCUGAUUAGCUGGUUGGUGAGGUAACGGCUCACCAAGGCGACGAUCAGUAGCCGGCUUGAGAGAGUGACCGGCCACAUUGGGACUGAGACACGGCCCAAACUCCUACGGGAGGCAGCAGUGGGGAAUAUUGCACAAUGGGGGAAACCCUGAUGCAGCGACGCCGCGUGAGUGAAGAAGUAUUUCGGUAUGUAAAGCUCUAUCAGCAGGGAAGACAAUGACGGUACCUGACUAAGAAGCCCCGGCUAACUACGUG
rnacentral:rRNA from 1 species